UGUUUCAUGCCCCCUCUCUCUCAAAAAUAAUUUCUCAUGGUAAAACCUUCUCUUUUUGUCACACAAAAUUAGAGAGGAUUUAAGAUUGGCAUGGAGAAGACAUAGGAUAGGAUAAAACACUAGGUAGUUUCGUUUAAAUUCAAACCUAUUUGAAUUCAAAACCCAACUAAUGCUAUCCUAAUCCUAGGGGGCACAAAAAAGAAGAGAGAAACAUUAGAAUGGUGUGGGAAAUCAUCAUGCAAAAUGGUUUCUCAUGCAUGGGAAGAGAAGUCGGCA
rnacentral:lncRNA from 1 species